rnacentral:misc_RNA from 1 species
GGAUCAUACAAUGCCUCGGGGACAGCAAAGUUUGGUUACUUGGGCGACCCCAAGGUUGAGUGAGGAUAAAGUCAAACAGUGUGUCGAUCCGAGAUUGAAAGGUGAAUAUCCUCCAAAAGGAGUUGCUAAGCUUGCAGCUGUGGCGGCAUUAUGCGUCCAAUAUGAAUCCGAGUUCCGACCCAAUAUGAGCAUUGUGGUCAAGGCUUUAUCACCACUACUAUCGAGUAAGCAGGCUCCUCCACCGCCACCGCCUGCUGCUGAUGCUCCUGCCUCUAAUGAUGUCCCUUUAAUUUGAAGAGAAGCAGUUCUACAUGGGUGGCUG